CCUACGGGAGACAGCAGUGAGGAAUAUUGGUCAAUGGGCGAGAGCCUGAACCAGCCAAGUAGCGUGAAGGAUGACUGCCCUACGGGUUGUAAACCUCUUUUAUCAGGGAAUAAAGUGAGGCACGUGUGCCUUUUUGUAUGUACUUUAUGAAAAAGGAUCGGCUAACUCCGUGCCAGCAGCCGCGGUAAUACGGAGGGUCCGAGCGUUAUCCGGAUUUAUUGGGUUUAAAGGGAGCGUAGGUGGGUGGUUAAGUCAGUGGGGAAAGUUUGCGGCUCAACCGUAAAAUUGCAAUUGAAACUGGCAGUCUUGAGUACGGUUGAGGUAGGCGGAAUUCGUGGUGUAGCGGUGAAAUGCUUAGAUAUCACGAAGAACUCCGAUUGCGAAGGCAGCUUACUAAACUGCCACUGACGUUGAUGCUCGAAAGUGUGGGUAUCAAACAGGAUUAGAUACCCGGGUAGUC
rnacentral:rRNA from 1 species